rnacentral:tRNA from 1 species
GGGCGCUUAGCUCAGCUGGUUAGAGCGUCUGGUUUACACCCAGAAGGUCAGAGGUCCGAAUCCUCUAGCGCCCA